CCGUGCUAAGCGGGGAAUUAGCGGUGCCCUGUACUUGCAAUCCGCUCCAGCAAGGCUGAAUCCCGCUUCUGAGGGAGUCAGUGUGAAGACUGCCUUAAUCUUACCGGUGUUGAGAUCCCGGUCCUAUGCAAUGGGACGUCAUGAACCAUGUCAGGUCCGGAAGGAAGCAGCAUUAAGUGACCCAUCCCAUGUGCCGUAGGGCAGCCGGGAUUGAGUCGGUAUUUUAAGUAACGUUUGUGCUGAUUUCUCGAGGAAGCGGUGCACGG
rfam:Salinicoccus alkaliphilus DSM 16010 genome assembly, contig: EJ97DRAFT_scaffold00017.17